rnacentral:rRNA from 1 species
AUUGAACGCUGGCGGCAGGCUUAACACAUGCAAGUCGAGCGGGGGAGGUUGCUUCGGUAACUGACCUAGCGGCGGACGGGUGAGUAAUGCUUAGGAAUCUGCCUAUUAGUGGGGGACAACAUUCCGAAAGGGAUGUUAAUACCGCAUACGCCCUACGGGGGAAAGCAGGGGAUCUUCGGACCUUGCGCUAAUAGAUGAGCCUAAGUCGGAUUAGCUAGUUGGUGGGGUAAAGGCCUACCAAGGCGACGAUCUGUAGCGGGUCUGAGAGAAUGAUCCGCCACACUGGGACUGAGACACGGCCCAGACUCCUACGGGAGGCAGCAGUGGGGAAGAUUGGACAAUGGGCGGGAGCCUGAUCCAGCCAUGCCGCGUGUGUGAAGAAGGCCUUUUGGUUGUAAAGCACUUUAAGCGAGGAGGAGGCUCUUAAGGUUAAUACCCUUGAUGAGUGGACGUUACUCGCAGAAUAAGCACCGGCUAACUCUGUGCCAGCCGCCGCAGUAAAAC